rnacentral:misc_RNA from 1 species
UCAAUGUUAAUGUAAUAUCUUGGAACGCAACUACAACCCUAGUAUGGAGAAACCACUAAUUUACAACAUUUUUUAACAAUACCCAUACCCCCAUCAACAAUUUAUCUAAGAAACCCAUAAUCCCCCACUGCCUUACCAGUGUUGCGCAUCGGAGGUUGAAAUGCAUCAACAGCACGUCUUCAUCCAAAAUUAGUAUAUAGGAGACCGCGAAAAUGAGAACGCUGUUUUAACUUUUACACGGCCCAGAAAGGUUUUCGAUUGGCUAUGCCACCAGUAGUGUUAUUGCUGUUCAAUGAUUCGACCCCUUCCUCUGAAUCAUCGUCUUCUUCUCCAUAUUCCAUUAGCUUCACUAAUGUAUCUGAGACAACAUCAUGUUUAAUGGCGUCCAAUGAAAGUUCCUUAUCUUGCACUAUAACCUUAACUGUUGAUGUAGAUUUUACUGGUGGUGGAGG